CGCACGGGUGAGUAACGCGUAUGCGACCUGCCCGUUGCAGGAGGGAUAAUCGGGAGAAAUCCCGUCUAAUACCGCGUAACGCCGCGGGGCUGCAUGGCCCUGCGGCCAAAGGGAGCGAUUCCGGCAACGGAUGGGCAUGCGUGACAUUAGCUAGUUGGCGGGGCAACGGCCCACCAAGGCGACGAUGUCUAGGGGUUCUGAGAGGAAGGUCCCCCACACUGGUACUGAGACACGGACCAGACUCCUACGGAAGGCAGCAG
rnacentral:rRNA from 1 species